rnacentral:rRNA from 1 species
UACGGGGGGAGCAAGCGUUGUUCGGAUUUACUGGGCGUAAAGGGCGCGUAGGCGGCCACCGCAAGUCGAGUGUGAAAUCUCCGGGCUUAACCCGGAAAGGUCAGCCGAUACUGCGGGGCUAGAGUGCAGAAGGGGCAACUGGAAUUCUCGGUGUAGCGGUGAAAUGCGUAGAUAUCGAGAGGAACACCUGCGGCGAAGGCGGGUUGCUGGGCUGACACUGACGCUGAGGCGCGAAAGCUAGGGGAGCGAACGGG